GGACGGCGAUGAUCUCCUCCUGCUCCCUUUUCAUCUCCCGCUGGUAAUGGUCUGCCUCGCUCUUGGCCGCGAGAUACCUACCACAUGGUGCAAUUGCGGGUAAGUGUCAUGCGUUUGUGCAAUUGCGCGCGCCUUUUUUCGAUUUGAAAACAAUGUGAUCUUGUCUUGUUCCCAGUUUAAAGGGGGGAAAGUAUUAUUCUCCACUUUCUUAGGCCUAAAAGUUGUGACACUAACACAAAGUGUGCUGGAACAGCACGUGGUAUAGGGCCACACACGUGUCCAUCACGAGCUAACUUUACUUUAAUUACUCCUUUUUCGGGCUUUGGAUGACAGGAGUAAUCUGCAACUGGGACUGUAGGGGUGGGAGCUAGGCAAAGAACAGAGAAGGUCAGAUACGCCGUGCACAAUCUGCAGAGCAACGAACACUAUGGGCUUUCCUAAUUGAUUUUUCAUGAGGUAACAAGGCAAUAUUCAGCAAGUACACCUGUGAAUCUGUGAGUAUAUUCAGGCAGGCAUACCUAACUCCCAUUAAAACAGCCAAGAGCACGGUAACUUGCUUGCUGGCCAUUUUUUUUAUUAAUCCAUUACUCCACUUCUUAUAUUCAGCAAGUAAUAUGUUUUAAGCGCGAGCGCCUAAUACGAUUUACAACCAUCUCUCCAGUCAGUCUCCACUCUGUACUGCUUAUGCCUUGUCCACAUCUCCCCUGUUCUACAAGGUCGUGGAAAAUAUUCUAGGCUGUAGGGAAAAAAACCGUAGACAAUCUCGUUCUUUUCUCCAACAAGAGUUGGAUGAACAUUAAAAUUUUUUGGCACGUUUUUCAAAUUGCUUAACGUACGUUUCGUGUGAAAACUUUCUAUAGGAAACUUGCUCUAAAAUAUCAUAUUAAUCUAUUUUUCAAGUUUGUAAUAAUUAAAACUCAAUCAAUUAUAUGUUAAUACCAAAAGUUUUGCGUGAAAAACUUAAUCUUCAUCUCAUCUUAAGAGAUCCUUUUGUUUGAAAGAAAUUCCAUAGGAUUUUUUUAUAAAUCAUUAUUUAUGAUUUCAUAGGAUCUUGUAAAAAUCAUUGGACAAACCAAUCGUAUGAAUUGUUUCCUAUUCUCGCAGACACGUGUUAAGCGUCUCUGCAAAAGACGGAACCCGAUAAUUGUACGAGCAAAUAUAUGCGUGCAUGGCGUAUCAAAAUUUUUUGUUUCAUCAUGAUCAUACUGCAGUACAUUCCGAUUUCAGGUGAUUAAUAAAUUACUAGUAUCAUGUUAUGGGCUGUGGCCUGUGGGUCCCCGAAAGCUUUCUAUUGUAUUCACUGACAUACUACUGCACCCUGCCGCUGGGUUUCCUGUUUUGGUAAUGAAAAACUCGGAACCCCUCUUUAAAAAAAAAAGAAAAGAAGAGCAAAUCUAUACGACGAAACUGACAUAUUGCUAACUUCGCUAGAUUAAUCAGGGAUUCAGGGGUGCAAUGCAUGGACAAGGAACACACAGAGAGAUGAUGAGUGUUUAAUGUUUACCCUCCGAGGCCCAUGGAGAUGGCGCCGGCGGCGACC
rnacentral:lncRNA from 1 species